GUUUACAACCAGGCCAUCCUGAACAUGCCCAAUCCUGUCUGAACGUGGAAGCUAAGUAGGGUUGGUCCUGGUUAGUACUUGGAUGGGAGACUACCUAGGAAGACCAGGUGCUGCAGGUA
rnacentral:rRNA from 1 species